GGGGAAUAUUGGACAAUGGGGGCAACCCUGAUCCAGCCAUGCCGCGUGUGUGAAGAAGGCCUUCGGGUUGUAAAGCACUUUCAGUGAGGAAGAAGGCCUGCGGGUUAAUAGCCGGCAGGAAGGACAUCACUCACAGAAGAAGCACCGGCUAACUCCGUGCCAGCAGCCGCGGUAAUACGGAGGGUGCGAGCGUUAAUCGGAAUUACUGGGCGUAAAGCGCGCGUAGGUGGCUUGAUAAGCCGGUUGUGAAAGCCCCGGGCUCAACCUGGGAACGGCAUCCGGAACUGUCAGGCUAGAGUGCAGGAGAGGAAGGUAGAAUUCCCGGUGUAGCGGUGAAAUGCGUAGAGAUCGGGAGGAAUACCAGUGGCGAAGGCGGCCUUCUGGACUGACACUGACACUGAGGUGCGAAAGCGUGGGUAGCAAACAG
rnacentral:rRNA from 1 species